rnacentral:rRNA from 1 species
UACGGAGGGUGCAAGCGUUAUCCGGAUUCACUGGGUUUAAAGGGUGCGUAGGCGGGCAGGUAAGUCAGUGGUGAAAUCUCCGGGCUUAACCCGGAAACUGCCGUUGAUACUACCUGUCUUGAAUAUCGUGGAGGUAAGCGGAAUAUGUCAUGUAGCAGUGAAAUGCUUAGAUAUGACAUAGAACACCGAUUGCGAAGGCAGCUUACUACACGAUCAUUGACGCUGAGGCACGAAAGCGUGGGGAGCAAACAGG